rnacentral:snoRNA from 1 species
AAGACUACACUUUCAGGGAUCGUUUCUGUAGGUUCGUAACGAAAACAUUGGACUCCCAAGACUACACUUUCAGGGAUCGUUUCUGUAGUUC